rnacentral:rRNA from 1 species
GGCUCAGGAUGAACGCUAGCUACAGGCUUAACACAUGCAAGUCGAGGGGCAGCAUGACGGAAGCUUGCUUCCGGUGGGCGUCGACCGGCGCACGGGUGAGUAACGCGUAUCCAACCUGCCCACCACUUGGGAAUAACCUUGCGAAAGUAAGACUAAUGCCCAAUGACAUUGAGUGCAGACAUCUAAUCUCAAUUAAAGAUUUAUCGGUGAUGGAUGGGGAUGCGUCCGAUUAGCUUGUUGGCGGGGUAACGGCCCACCAAGGCAACGAUCGGUAGGGGUUCUGAGAGGAAGGUCCCCCACAUUGGAACUGAGACACGGUCCAAACUCCUACGGGAGGCAGCAGUGAGGAAUAUUGGUCAAUGGGCGAGAGCCUGAACCAGCCAAGUAGCGUGCAGGAUGACGGCCCUAUGGGUUGUAAACUGCUUUUAUAAGGGAAUAAAGUGGGGCUCGUGAGCUCUUUUGCAUGUACCUUAUGAAUAAGGACCGGCUAAUUCCGUG